AGUGAACGCUGGCGGUAUGCCUAAUACAUGCAAGUCGAACGGCCAGACGGUAAGCUUUCUCCCCUACCGUUAGCGGCGGGCGGACGAGUGACGCGUGCAUCACCUUCCUCUUAUACUUGGGUAACUUCGUAGAACCACAUCUACUAACGCAUCAUAUGACCAACCGGCUAAUUCAACAGUUCAUGAGACUCUUGCCGACUCUUAUAGCCGGAUCCGGGCCGCAUUAGCUGGUUGGUAAGGUAACGGCUUACCAAGGCAACGAUGCGUAGCCGACCUGAGAGGGUGAUCGGCCACACUGGAACUGAGACACGGUCCAGACUCCUACGGGAGGCAGCAGUGGGGAAUCUUCCGCAAUGGGCGAAAGCCUGACGCAGCCACGCCGCGUGAGUGAAGAAGGUCUUCGGGUUGUAAAGCUCUUUUAUUAGGGAAGAACAAAUGUGUAAGUAACUAUGCCCGUCUUGACGGUACCCAAACAGAAAGCCACGGCUAACUUCGUG
rnacentral:rRNA from 1 species